rnacentral:rRNA from 1 species
AGAGUUUGAUCCUGGCUCAGGACGAACGCUGGCGGCGUGCUUAACACAUGCAAGUCAGGGGGCCCGCAAGGGUCACCGGCGAACGGGUGCGUAACACGUGAACAACCUGCCCGAGCGAGGGGGAUAGCCGGCCCAACGGCCGGGUAAUACCGCAUAUGCUCACAGUGCCUUAUGGCGCAGUGAGGAAACCUUCGGGGCGCUCGGAGGGGUUCGCGACCUAUCAGCUAGUUGGUGGGGUAACGGCCUACCAAGGCGACGACGGGUAGCUGGUCUGAGAGGAUGGCCAGCCACAUUGGGACUGCGACACGGCCCAGACUCCUACGGGAGGCAGCAGUGGGGAAUAUUGCGCAAUGGUCGAAAGACUGACGCAGCGACGCCGCGUGGAGGAUGACGCCCUUCGGGUUGUAAACCUCUUUCAGCAGGGACGAAGCUAACGUGACGGUACCUGCAGAAGAAGCGCCGGCUAACUACGUGCCAGCAGCCGCGGUAAUACGUAGGGCGCAAGCGUUGUCCGGAAUUAUUGGGCGUAAAGAGCUCGUAGGCGGUUUGUUGCGUCCGUCGUGAAAGCCCACAGCUUAACUGUGGGUCUGCGGUGGAUACGGGCAGACUAGAGGCAGGUAGGGGAGAACGGAAUUCCCGGGUGUAGCGGUGAAUGCGUAGA